rnacentral:ncRNA from 1 species
AUGAUGGGUGCGGGAGAGACCCCUUAAAGGGGCGCCGAAGGGGUAAGCGGCAACGCCCGCGAAACUCUCAGGCAAAAGGACCGCAUCCGGACA